AGAAGACCUCCCGUAAAUCAAGCCUGACUGGUCGCGCAGGUGUAAAAAAGCGGGAUGACACCGUGAAGAGUCAUCCCGC
rnacentral:sRNA from 16 species